rnacentral:rRNA from 1 species
UCUGGUGACAAUAGCAAGGAGGUCACACCUGUUUCCAUGCCGAACACAGAAGUUAAGCUCCUUAGCGCCGAUGGUAGUCGGGCUUACGUCCCGCUAGAGUAGGACGUUGCCAGGC